GACGAACGCUGGCGGCGCGCCUAACACAUGCAAGUCGAACGAGCGAGAGAGAGUUACUUUUUCGAGCGAGUGGCGAACGGGUGAGUAACGCGUGAGGAACCUGCCUCAAAGAGGGGGACAACAGUUGGAAACGACUGCUAAUACCGCAUAAGCCCACGACCCGGCAUCGGGUAGAGGGAAAAGGAGCAAUCCGCUUUGAGAUGGCCUCGCGUCCGAUUAGCUAGUUGGUGAGGUAAUGGCCCACCAAGGCGACGAUCGGUAGCCGGACUGAGAGGUUGAACGGCCACAUUGGGACUGAGACACGGCCCAGACUCCUACGGGAGGCAGCAGUGGGGAAUAUUGCACAAUGGGGGAAACCCUGAUGCAGCGACGCCGCGUGGAGGAAGAAGGUCUUCGGAUUGUAAACUCCUGUUGUUGGGGAAGAUAAUGACGGUACCCAACAAGGAAGUGACGGCUAACUACGUG
rnacentral:rRNA from 1 species